AUGUAUAUAUGCACAUAUAAAGGUUAUAUACGCACACACAUCCUCUCACACACAUGUACAUUCACACCCAUCCUGGUGUCUGAAGAGCUGCUUCUGUUCCCAUCCAAGGCUAACCACAUCUACUGGAUAUUGAUUGCUCUCCUCUGCCCUGUACCUCAUUCCUUCCUGGCCUGGUGGUCACAGCCCCAUAAUUGUUGUGAGAGAAUGAAGAAGAGCUGCCUCUUCAUCCAGAGGCCCUCCAUUCCACUGGCAUUCCUGAGCAGUGACGUUCUGGUGGAGUCACAAGGGAGAAGAUUCAGAGCGUCGGAGAGGAGGAUGUUCUCCUCUACUUUGGAGUCAAGAGGAGCAGCAGCUAUCCAGAUGGUUUGGAGAUGUUUUGAGAGAAGGCGAGGCAUUGUUAGAAGAAGUGGGAACGCAGAAAAAAAUGAACAGAGUGACCUUGAUGGUUUGGGGUGGCAUGUUGUCUCCAUCUCUUCUGGGAAGUGGUCUUUUUCUGUGGUGCAUGAUCCCAACGGGCAGGGCCACCUGACUUUUCUCCGACCUACUUUCACAAAGAAGGUUUUUCAUUAUAUGGUCCUAUAUUUUUCAUUUUUUUUCUCUUAAAAAAGAAGAAUUUUUAAUUGCAUGAGCAAAGCAUAGUAGCAGUAUAUGGGUUCAUGAAGAUCUAAUCCAAAAUUCUCUCUCUUUUUUUCUUUUUUACCUCAAACAAGAAACUUGAAUCUCAAAGCAAAUGAAGAUUCUGUUCUCUUUUUUAGACAUUCAUUAUAGGAGAAAAACAUCCUAAAACUGUUAGGAAUCUUGAAAUACCACCUUCCAGUUCCUUUAGUGGAGCACAUGGUAUUAUAUUAUUGUUGUUAAUACUUGCUGCUGUAACAGACAAACCCAGGAUUACAUACAGACUCAAACAUGGAAGAAGUUAACUUUUCUUUCAGAUAAAAGAUGAAAUGGGUGAUCCCAAUUGAUGCACUCUUCCAAAUGAUGACUCCAAGACCCAGAUUUUUUCCAUCAUCAACAUUUGGCUUCCAAGACUGUCAUCAUGAAUCUGUGUCAAGCUAAGGGAAGAGGAAAGAACAUGAUGAAUGGUAUAGGAGAGAUUUUUUUCUUUUAGGGCCAGGUCUUAAAGUGAAGCCUAUAUCUUAUAUUCAAAUUCCACUAGCUAGAACUGACAUAUGGCCACGCCCAGUGGAAAAAGUAGGUGGGACAUAUAAUCUUGCUCUGUGACAAGGAAAAAUAGGAUAUGGGUUUAGGGAACAGCUAGUCAUUUUGUUUUCUUAGCUAAAAAAUUCUACUUGCUUAGAGCUCUUCCACCGAUGUUUGGCUUUAUGAGCAAAUGUACUGGAGCAUGGUAGAGAGAUAAGAUUCAGCUACUUACAAACAAAAAAUUCAGCUACUGUGCAACUCAAGAGUGUCUCAAUAAGUAGAAAUUUUUCUUUGCAUUUGUUUCAAAUAAAAAAAAAUCCAGAGUGUGUUCUAAUGAAUGG
rnacentral:lncRNA from 12 species